GGUUAAGCGACUAAGCGUACACGGUGGAUGCCCUGGCAGUCAGAGGCGAUGAAGGGCGUGCUAAUCUGCGAUAAGCGCCGGUAAGGUGAUAUGAACCGUUAUAACCGGCGAUACCCGAAUGGGGAAACCCAGUGUGACUCGUCACACUAUCAUUAACUGAAUCCAUAGGUUAAUGAGGCGAACCGGGGGAACUGAAACAUCUAAGUACCCCGAGGAAAAGAAAUCAACCGAGAUUCCCCCAGUAGCGGCGAGCGAACGGGGAGGAGCCCAGAGCCUGAAUCAGCAUGUGUGUUAGUGGAAGCGUCUGGAAAGGCGCGCGAUACAGGGUGACAGCCCCGUACACAAAAGCGCAUGUGCUGUGAGCUCGAUGAGUAGGGCGGGACACGUGGUAUCCUGUCUGAAUAUGGGGGGACCAUCCUCCAAGGCUAAAUACUCCUGACUGACCGAUAGUGAACCAGUACCGUGAGGGAAAGGCGAAAAGAACCCCGGCGAGGGGAGUGAAAAAGAACCUGAAACCGUGUACGUACAAGCAGUGGGAGCACAGGUUUACCUGUGUGACUGCGUACCUUUUGUAUAAUGGGUCAGCGACUUAUAUUCUGUAGCAAGGUUAACCGAAUAGGGGAGCCGGAGGGAAACCGAGUCUUAAUUGGGCGUUAAGUUGCAGGGUAUAGACCCGAAACCCGGUGAUCUAGCCAUGGGCAGGUUGAAGGUUGGGUAACACUAACUGGAGGACCGAACCGACUAAUGUUGAAAAAUUAGCGGAUGACCUGUGGCUGGGGGUGAAAGGCCAAUCAAACCGGGAGAUAGCUGGUUCUCCCCGAAAGCUAUUUAGGUAGCGCCUCGUGAAUUCAUCUCCGGGGGUAGAGCACUGUUUCGGCUAGGGGGCCAUCCCGGCUUACCAACCCGAUGCAAACUGCGAAUACCGGAGAAUGUUAUCACGGGAGACACACGGCGGGUGCUAACGUCCGUCGUGAAGAGGGAAACAACCCAGACCGCCAGCUAAGGUCCCAAAGUCAUGGUUAAGUGGGAAACGAUGUGGGAAGGCCCAGACAGCCAGGAUGUUGGCUUAGAAGCAGCCAUCAUUUAAAGAAAGCGUAAUAGCUCACUGGUCGAGUCGGCCUGCGCGGAAGAUGUAACGGGGCUAAACCAUGCACCGAAGCUGCGGCAGCGACGCUGAUGCGUUGUUGGGUAGGGGAGCGUUCUGUAAGCCUGUGAAGGUGGCCUGUGAGGGUUGCUGGAGGUAUCAGAAGUGCGAAUGCUGACAUAAGUAACGAUAAAGCGGGUGAAAAGCCCGCUCGCCGGAAGACCAAGGGUUCCUGUCCAACGUUAAUCGGGGCAGGGUGAGUCGACCCCUAAGGCGAGGCCGAAAGGCGUAGUCGAUGGGAAACGGGUUAAUAUUCCCGUACUUGGUGUUACUGCGAAGGGGGGACGGAGAAGGCUAUGUUGGCCGGGCGACGGUUGUCCCGGUUUAAGCGUGUAGGUGUGUGUUCCAGGUAAAUCCGGUUCACUUUAACACUGAGGCGUGACGACGAGGCACUACGGUGCUGAAGCAACAAAUGCCCUGCUUCCAGGAAAAGCCUCUAAGCAUCAGGUAACAUCAAAUCGUACCCCAAACCGACACAGGUGGUCAGGUAGAGAAUACCAAGGCGCUUGAGAGAACUCGGGUGAAGGAACUAGGCAAAAUGGUGCCGUAACUUCGGGAGAAGGCACGCUGACACGUAGGUGAAGUGAUUUACUCAUGGAGCUGAAGUCAGUCGAAGAUACCAGCUGGCUGCAACUGUUUAUUAAAAACACAGCACUGUGCAAACACGAAAGUGGACGUAUACGGUGUGACGCCUGCCCGGUGCCGGAAGGUUAAUUGAUGGGGUCAGCGCAAGCGAAGCUCCUGAUCGAAGCCCCGGUAAACGGCGGCCGUAACUAUAACGGUCCUAAGGUAGCGAAAUUCCUUGUCGGGUAAGUUCCGACCUGCACGAAUGGCGUAAUGAUGGCCAGGCUGUCUCCACCCGAGACUCAGUGAAAUUGAACUCGCUGUGAAGAUGCAGUGUACCCGCGGCAAGACGGAAAGACCCCGUGAACCUUUACUAUAGCUUGACACUGAACAUUGAGCCUUGAUGUGUAGGAUAGGUGGGAGGCUUUGAAGCGUGGACGCCAGUCUGCGUGGAGCCGACCUUGAAAUACCACCCUUUAAUGUUUGAUGUUCUAACGUGGACCCGUAAUCCGGGUUGCGGACAGUGUCUGGUGGGUAGUUUGACUGGGGCGGUCUCCUCCUAAAGAGUAACGGAGGAGCACGAAGGUUGGCUAAUCCUGGUCGGACAUCAGGAGGUUAGUGCAAUGGCAUAAGCCAGCUUGACUGCGAGCGUGACGGCGCGAGCAGGUGCGAAAGCAGGUCAUAGUGAUCCGGUGGUUCUGAAUGGAAGGGCCAUCGCUCAACGGAUAAAAGGUACUCCGGGGAUAACAGGCUGAUACCGCCCAAGAGUUCAUAUCGACGGCGGUGUUUGGCACCUCGAUGUCGGCUCAUCACAUCCUGGGGCUGAAGUAGGUCCCAAGGGUAUGGCUGUUCGCCAUUUAAAGUGGUACGCGAGCUGGGUUUAGAACGUCGUGAGACAGUUCGGUCCCUAUCUGCCGUGGGCGCUGGAGAACUGAGGGGGGCUGCUCCUAGUACGAGAGGACCGGAGUGGACGCAUCACUGGUGUUCGGGUUGUCAUGCCAAUGGCACUGCCCGGUAGCUAAAUGCGGAAGAGAUAAGUGCUGAAAGCAUCUAAGUACGAAACUUGCCCCGAGAUGAGUUCUCCCUGAGACUUAGAGUCUCCUGAAGGAACGUUGAAGACGACGACGUUGAUAGGCCGGGUGUGUAAGCGCAGCGAUGCGUUGAGCUAACCGGUACUAAUGAACCGUGAGGCUUAACCUU
rnacentral:rRNA from 1 species